ANCACCCAAACAUCGAUAGGAAUGGAAGCAUAUGCGUUGAUAACCUGAAAAAGCAAUGGACUCCCGCUAUUACCAUAUCCAAGGUUUUGUUGUAUUUUUGCUCGCUGCUGACUGACCCAAACCCUGAUGAUUCUCUUGUGCCGGAGAUUGCUAAUAUAUACAAGACAGAUAGAUCCAAGUACGAGUCGACUGCGAGAAGCUGGACACAAAAGUACGCAAUGGGUUGAUAAGACAAAUGUUGUCUGGUCUCGAUCGAGACAAGCAAUGGGACUCUGUUAUUGCGCAUGUAAAUGUAUAUAUAAAACUUAUUAAAAAAGACACUGCAGACGGUAUCAUGCGAUUGUAAUCGUAAAACUUAGCUGUAACCUACUCUUCUUCUGUUCUGAUCACUAUUAGCUUAUUAUUUAUUUC